UCAACAUUCACGUAAAACUCAAGCAUCUAAUUUCACGUGAAUUGCAAAAUCUCUCAAACCCGUCCUCCUUCCCUUUUCACGACUGCUCCUCCAUUGCUGCUACUGCUCACGCUGCCGGACCACCAACCUGUACGGCCACCAGUCCUCCUCCGCCGUCGGUACUCCUUGUUCUCCUCCUUCUCUUGUUCUUUCUUUCUCUUGCUUCGUGUUCUUGCUCUCCUCCUUGUGUUUUCCUGUCUUUCGCACAGCACCACCACCACGCUACCACCAGCGUUCGUGGCCUUGUUUCAGCCAUCUCGUUGUCGCCUGACCGUCGUCCCUUUGCACGGUAGUCUCUCUUGUCCCUCCUUUAUUCUCUCCUUCGUUUUUCUCUUUCUUUUAUUUUCGUUCCCCCUUAAUCGUGCUUGUGUCGCACAACCACCACCACCACUCGCUGCCGCCGAGCAGUUCUGCCGCCUCCAGCUGCGCCUCACACACUACUAGAAAUUACACUUACAACGACAAAUGAAUAACGACCAACCAAAUAAAAUUAUCGUUAAAACGUAAAUUUGUUCAAAGUUGAGCGCGGGUCAUGUAAUAAUUUUAAAUAAAAAACUGAACCAUAUUUUCUCAAAAACAAAUUCGUCUUUAAUGUUAAAACUUACCUUCAUAUUUCAGCCGAUUCCGAAACCUAGGUCAGACCUUAAAACUCUUUCAAUUUUCUCUCCUCUCAAAUUCCAGUAUUUGGCGACUCAGCUACGAUGGCGACAGGCAACAAUGAUAUCGACACCGACACUACCACGACGGCGAUAGGACCAGCUAACCCUUUUGCUACAAUGACCGACAUAAGCAACUCAAAUUUUUACCCUAUCGUCCUUAUUUAUAGAGUAUUUAUUUGAAUCACGUUGUUUUUACAUUGCAAUUUCAAAAGUUCUCAACUAUAUUUCAAUUAAUUUCUCUAUUUAUGUAAAUCUGAUGGAUAAUCGGUUAAUUACAAAUCAAUUACUCUUUCCAAUACUUUGAUUAUCUGUGAAAGAAAUUGUGAUCAUUUUUGUUAACGUGAAUGAAGUCUGAGUAUUAAUCCAUGUGUAAUUUAUUUUGUUUUGAUUUCGUAGUUAGUGUUCAUGUGUGUAGAUUGUUAUAGACUAUUCGCACUAGUUCAGCUGUUGGGUGAUCAAUAUGCUUAGUACCUUUGAGUUUAGUCAUAACACAAAGCCUUAAUCCUAAUAGGUUCAUGUUUUCAGGUUGGUGACUGAGUGUGUGCGGUAUGUGUAUAAGACUAGGAGAGGCAUGCGUCUUGUGUACAAUUGGCAGAGUCUUGCAAGCUACUCUGACAGCAAGAAGCUUAGUUUGUGUGUGUAUGUGUGAGGCUUGCAGGGGCAGCAGAAACAAGCAUGUCGUCUUGUGUACAUUAUGGUUUGAUCUUCUAAUAUAGCUGUCUAAGAUGUCGUAUUUUCUCUGGGAUUUUUUUGGGGGUAGUUGGGGGUGUUGUUUGACAACCAUGAUGUUAAUUUUUGAAUGUUCAAUCUCGUUUUUGAUAUUUUUGUUUAACUUUAUUUGGAGCUUUUAUGUGUUUGAUUUCACUGUACGACGUGCUCAUAGACCUUGAUUGUUGCUCGUCAGUUGAAUUUGGUGUUUAUUGGAUACUCCCUCCGUAUUUAUUUAAGAGAUACACUUGGCCGGGCACGGGUAUUAAGAAGGAGAAUUGAAUGAAAUAAAAUAAUAAAGCAAGUGGGGUUGGGUAGAUAUUUUAAUAAGUAAACAAGUGGGGACCAUGUCAUUUUGGUGGGGUGGGAGGUGUGACGGGUUUAUGAAAUUAUUUGUUUAAUAGGAUGGUGGGUAAUGGGGUAAAUUAGAUGUAUUAUUUAAUUAGAUGGUGGGGUUGAUAAGUUACUAAAAAUGGCAAGUGUAUCUCUUAAAGAAAUACGGCCGGAAAAGGCAAGUGUAUCCCUUAAAUAAAUACGGAGGGAGUACCUAGUUUCUAAUUUGGCAUGUGGAUUGAACCUUAUGAAUGCUUCUUCAGUAUACGAAUCGGGUAAAUGGUGGCUGAUUGAGAUAAUGUAGUUCUUUAGUGCGUCUAUAACUGUAAUGCAAUAUGAAUUCUAGUGCAUAAGGAGCUGAUUGACAGAUAGUCAUCAUGUUUACUAUUUGUGUCCCUUGUUAAUAGUGUCUCUGGAGCCUGAAGGUUUUGAAAGGAUGCACAGAUAACUUGACUGAGGCUCUCAUGUUCCUGUCACAUUUUGUUGGUGAUGUUCACCAGGUUAGUGCCUUUUCUUGAGACAGUGUGACUCUCAGUGACUCAGUGAGGAUGCUGAUGAAAAAAGCUAUCAUGAUUCAUUUACUUAGUUGCAUAUAUUUCAUAUAGUAUUCCUUUCUGUUGGAGUCAAGUCAGCUGUGGGACUAUAGUUUGUGCUUCAGAUAACCAAACUAAAGUUCAGUAUCCUUUUAGCAUAUAAGCAUGUGAAUGUAAAAUGACUUGUACUGAAAUAUUUCGAACUAUGCGAUGCAUAUUGUCAAGCUAUGUAAAAUGUAUGUAUGUCUAUUUUUUUGACUGAAAGUGGGCAGUGAUACUGAAGCCAGUAUUAGGGGUUCACAGCUUUUCCUGAUUCUAAGUUCUUACACUAUAUUAACAAAUUCUUCUAUUUGCUCUUGCAAGCUGUCUAAGAUGGGAAGAAAGGAGUCCGUCGUAUAUUCGUAUGGAUAGCAGUAUUCAUAAGUGGUCAUAUAGCUUUACUUUACAUAUCAUGGAGUCACUGUAAAAUUAAUAACAACACCAUAGUACGUUAUUGAAAUUUGAAAGCAUCUCUAUACACAGUUAAAACGCAAUUUGGGAAGACGAGAGGCUUCAAAGAUGUGAGACUAAGCUCUUACUUCUCAGUUCUCACACGAUUUUGCAUCUUCCAUAAGAGUUUUACCUUCUGCAUUGUUUGUAAACUGUUAGAGCUUUUUGGGAAUAACUGCAGGAGGGAAGUAGGAAAGGGAGAAGGAGAAGAAAGGGUGAGAUCAAAAAGGAAAAAAAUAGUACGAAAUAAAGCUUUUUGAAUGGAUCAUAGAUGAAAGCUUCGAGGAAAUUCAAUUCCUCCACUUAAUAUUUCCCAUUACAUUCCUAAUUAUCUUCGAAAUUGUGUCUUCCCUUCUCUUUCAUUUUGCUGACUACUCUUCAGGUGCCUAUAGGCUAUAAUUAAUGAUCUAAGUAAGGGAACUGAACAGAAUUCACCAGAGUUUAGGGUAGCACUGUGACAGUGAACACCUCAAAACUUUAAGCUAUCUAUUUCUUAUUAUAGUUCAAAGAAAAGAAUUUACAUAACCAUUUGUUGCAGAAUGAGACAUUCACCUGAUUUUAUAUAGGUAACAGUUUCCUUCUUAUUGGUGUGUCUAAGUAGGACCGUCUUUUAUGUUUUCAUCUAUAUACCAUACUUCAUGUUGCCGAGUUUGUCUAGUCAAUUUCAUGUUGCGAAAGUUCUGUUUGAGUAAGGGAAUCUCCUCCCCCUUGUUAUGAAAAGGGUGUUUUUUGUUCCGUCAAUUUCGGAGAAAAGCUAUCAUGAUAUGCUAAACUAUGGUUUGGAUUUUCUUUGUCUGAUGAGCUAAUCUAUGAAUUGGUGUGGGAUAUGCCAUAGAUGCAUAAAUGCAUAUGCUUUAAAAACAGGGAAACCCGUAAAGGAUCAGAUCACCAGAAAAACAAGUAAUAAGUAUUAUGUAAGCAGGAGUAUCAAGUUAAUUUAGUUUUCUUUAUUUAACCCAAUGACAAGUUGAUACCAGGAGAAGAAUUCAUAUUUUUUCCCCCUAGGAAAUGAAUUAUUCUUUACAUAGCUGGUUCUCAUAUCUGCUAUAGCUCUGAUUUCUCAUAUCUGCUUCUAAGGCUCAAGCAGCUUUCAGGAGGCAACUUUCCAUUGGUAUUUUCCCUCUUUGUUUCUGAAUUACGAUUAACAAGUUGUCAUUUUUACAUUCUUGGAAGGGCCACAAAAUCUCUUGUAAACUUUAUAGAUAGAAUACUCUGCAUAAUUUCUUGUUUUACUCUACAAAUUUACUUUUCUUGUUAUUAGUGUGAUUUUUUGUGCAGGUAGCACAUGAGAUUUUUAAAUCCAAUCUCCAGAUCGAGUUAUAGGUUUUAAUGCAGGAAUAAAGUUUAAAUAUACAAGGGACAACAACGUAGUAGAAAAAGAACUCCACCAGAACAAAUUUUUUGCAUGUCACGUGGAGGAAGUGAAGAGAACAACGAAAUGAAGACAAUAUUACUUUGGUUGAGUUAAUGAAAAUAUUCGAAGAUAUGUCGGUGUCACAACUUAAUGUUGCAAUUCCUACUUCACAAGAUGAUUCUGAAAUGUCCAAGUACUUAAAGAUGGGAAGUUAUCACACUUCAUACCGAUUUAGAGUCUUUGAUUUUUUUUUUUUGAAGUUUAAUAACAGGGAAUUGUUUAGAUAUUUCCUCUUUGAUCUUUAAUGUGGAUGUUUGGUUGUUUUGUUGAGUUGUAUCAUAAUUGUUAUUGAUUUUGUUUAAUGAAAAUUAAGUUUAUUAUGUAUUUUUGAAAUAUUGAAUAAAAUAGCAGGUUUAGCCGGUUAAAACGGCACAA